CGUAGGGUGCAAGCGUUAAUCGGAAUUACUGGGCGUAAAGCGUGCGCAGGCGGUUUGUUAAGUCUGUUGUGAAAUCCCCGAGCUCAACUUGGGAAUUGCAAUGGAUACUGGCAGGCUGGAGUAUGGUAGAGGAAGGUGGAAUUCCCGGUGUAGCAGUGAAAUGCGUAGAGAUCGGGAGGAACACCAGUGGCGAAGGCGGCCUUCUGGACCAAUACUGACGCUCAUGCACGAAAGCGUGGGGAGCAAACAGG
rnacentral:rRNA from 1 species